rnacentral:rRNA from 1 species
GAGCACGUAGGUGGGUUUGUAAGUCGGGUGUGAAAUCCCUCGGCCUAACCGAGGAACGGCGCCCGAUACUGCAUGUCUUGAGGGCAGGAGGGGAACGUGGAAUUCCUGGUGGAGCGGUGAAAUGCGUUGAUAUCAGGAGGAACACCGGCGGCGAAGGCGACGUUCUGGCCUGCUUCUGACGCUGAGGUGCGAAAGCCAGGGGAGCAAACGGGAUUAGAUACCCCGGUAGUCCUGGCCGUAAACGAUGGGCACUAAGUAGAGGGGU